ACAGUGGACGCGAGCAUCUGUGGCCAAGUUUUUAAGGGCGCACGGUGGAUGCCUUGGCACCAGGAACCGAUGAAGGACGUGAGAGGCCGCGAUAGGCCCCGGGGAGCUGCCAACUGAGCUUUGAUCCGGGGGUGUCCGAAUGGGGAAACCCGGCAGUCGUCAUGGGCUGUCACCCACUGCUGAACACAUAGGCAGUGUGGAGGGAACGAGGGGAAGUGAAACAUCUCAGUACCCUCAGGAAGAGAAAACAACCGUGAUUCCGGGAGUAGUGGCGAGCGAAACCGGAUGAGGCCAAACCGUAUGCGUGUGAGACCCGGCAGGGGUUGCGCAUGCGGGGUUGUGGGAAUGAGCUUCAGUCGUCUGCCGGCGGCUGGGCGAGUCAGAAACCGUUGAUGUAGUCGAAGGACAUGCGAAAGGUCCGGCGUAGAGGGUAAGACCCCCGUAGACGAAACAUCAGCGGCUUGCUUGCUCAUCUCCCAAGUAGCACGGGGCCCGAGAAAUCCCGUGUGAAUCUGGCGGGACCACCCGCUAAGCCUAAAUAUUCCCUGGUGACCGAUAGCGGAUAGUACCGUGAGGGAAUGGUGAAAAGUACCGCGGGAGCGGAGUGAAAUAGUACCUGAAACCGUGUGCCUACAAGCCGUGGGAGCGUCGG
rnacentral:rRNA from 1 species